rnacentral:rRNA from 1 species
ACCAGCAGCUACAUUGCCCUGCAAUUCACAACUAGCAACCCACUGAAGCUAAGCAGGUGUGAGCCUGGUCAGUAUCUGGAUGGGAGACCUCAUGGGAAAGCUGAGGUUGUUGCUGGAA